rnacentral:rRNA from 1 species
UACGAAGGGGGCUAGCGUUGCUCGGAAUCACUGGGCGUAAAGCGCACGUAGGCGGCUUACUAAGUCAGGGGUGAAAUCCUGGAGCUCAACUCCAGAACUGCCUUUGAUACUGGUGAGCUUGAGUCCGGAAGAGGUGAGUGGAACUGCGAGUGUAGAGGUGAAAUUCGUAGAUAUUCGCAAGAACACCAGUGGCGAAGGCGGCUCACUGGUCCGGUACUGGACGCUGAGGUGCGAAAAGCGUGGG